UUUUGGCUUGUUUCUUGAGCUAGUAGGAGGCUGUGUGCGUUGAUACAAGAAAAACUUUGUUGUGCAGAGGAAGAUCGAGGUAGAAGAACUGCUUGAAAAUGAAACUUCCAACAUUGAAGCAAAAUCAAGCAUGGCAGAAGAGAAACAACGACGCCAGGUUGAAGAUAGCUUGAUGAAAUUGAACGUAGUUGAAGCACCUAGCAUACGCUCGAGAGUUUUGGAUGAGGACUCGUCAACCACCGAAAACAUGAAUGAGUCCAAGCAUGUUUACGACGAUAAAGGCUCUUGCGAGGCAAUGUCUGUUAUUCUAUGCAACACGAAACUCGACUGCGACAUGGCAAAGGAACGCGGAAUUGUCGCAGAAAUUUUAUCUUUCAAACAUUUCGAGGAGGAGCUCAAUUCACUUUUGGCGAGAUCUUCACUAGUUUCUAGACAGUGCCUUCGAGAAACAGACGUUGAUGGUCAACGGUAAUAUACAAGAACUUGAGGAUAAAAAUCACGAGGAACGCGAUUUGUUUCAAAAGUACAUCAGCAACAUGGCAUCGUAAGAAGAUGGUGGACGAGCUUACAGGAAUGGCUUACCAUCCAG